AAGGAAGUCAUUCCUUCCUCUCUUCCUCCUGCUCUCUGCUCUACAGUCGCCAUGCGACCCGGGAAGAGGAUGACAGUGGAAGGCGUUCUCCAUAAGAUAAGUCUUAUGAUUAUGGAUGAUAAGUAAGACUGAGAUAAUUAUCCCUAUACCACCCCUGUCUGGUGGUCCUGGCUUCUAUAAAAAAAAAGAAAAAAAAAAAGAGCAGGCUGAGCAAGCCAUGGGGAGCAAUCCAGUAAGCAGCACCCUCUAUGGCCUCUGCAUCAGCUUCUGCCUCCAGGUUCCAACCCUCCUUGAGUUCCUGUCCUGACCUCCUCCAAUGAGGGAUUAAGAUCUGGAAGAGUAAGCCAAAUAAACCCUUUCCUCCCCAUCUUGCUUUUGGUCAUGGUGUAUUAGCACAGUAACAGAAACCAUAAUUAGUACAAUAUGUUAAGUCCAAAUGAAGUAAACCAAAAGAUAUAUAGCUGCCUAAAUCAAACAAGCAUAAAGUGCAUGAAAGAGCCAUAGAAAUCUCGUCACAUUUAAUUCUUUCAUUGUAUCAAAACAUACUCGAGCUUGGUGGUGGUAGUGCACGCCUUUAAUGCCAGCACUUGGGAGGCAGAGGCAGGUGGAUCUCUAUGAAUUCGAGGCCAGCCUGGUCUACAGAGCAAGUGCCAGGAUGGACCAGGAUGCCAGGAUGGGCUCCAAAGCUACACAGAGAAACCCUGUCUCCAAAAAAGAGAACAAAAUACUGAGGUUCAGAUGUGAUUAUCUCUAAUUCGAGGCUCAGAUGUGAUUAUCUCUAAUUCCAAGACGCCGAACUAUCAAUUCCUAAUCCCUGUAUGAAUUGAGAGGCCCUCCUGAUAUCAAGAUUCACUCUCCUAGGUUCAAACAUGGACAGGGUGGGAGGUGGGGAAGUGGGCGGGGGGGGGGGGAGGAACAACUUUGCCAAAAUGAAGGAUAUAGGAAAAAGCCAUCCUAUAGCCCCGAAAUCCAAGUUUAAAAAAAAGCAAACAAACAAAAACCUAAUCCUGCCCUGCUGUAACUUCUGCAGUCGGCAACAGCAGCACAGUGCUGUUCAGUUGUCGCUGCACCAGUUAAAGCAUGGGCACGUGGGUCAUGCUCUGAGACAGAAAGUGGCAAUAAAUAUACACUUAUAAAAAUCACAAGUCCAGGUCAGCAAGAAGACAUCCGAGCCUAGCUGCCUUGGUUCCAACACUUAAUGAUCAGAAACUACACAGGGCUGCCUCCAAGCUCAAGCAGCAGCUAGCUUACCAUCUUCAGGACCAAACCAGUCCAACCAAAGCAAGCUCGACAACACCUCAAGCUCCGUGUCACUUGUCAGAAAGUUUCAAGAAAACAUUGCUUGGAUGAUCUAGAGAGCAGUCAUGUGACAGACUGGGCUCUGAAAAAUCACUGAGUGAUUUAGUGCAGUCGGGCAGACAAGACUUUCUGGGGCAGCUCAUCCAAGAGCCGUAGCUGUGCCAUGUGGGGCCAUGUGGCAGGCUGCAUGCUGAGUCACAAGAGCAAGGAAGGGGCACUUCUGAAUCACCACGACCACAUCCUGCCCCUCCCUCAGCUGUUCCCUAGAAACUGUCUGUCAUCUGCUGGGUGAGUUCUCCAUCUGAAGGGCAGGUAUGCUCAGUGCCCCAAACGCCUGUGAACCUAGGUCCGUUCUCCAAGAGCAUCUGGCUCUGUUUCUUCCAGUGGAAUGAAUGUGUGAAGCUCACUGUGAAUAUGUGUGAUGUCCGUGCACACAGACUUGGAUUCAGUGGGAUUUUUCACAUUCUGUUUGCUGGGUACAACACAGCAUCUAUCUCCACUUAGACAAACUCUUGAAAGAUGGCUGUAGCUGACGUACAUCAGAAAGAAAGAGGAGGAACAAUACCAACCCGAUAACAACUUGGGAGGAAUGUGUUCUUUCUUAGAAUUAUAAGACACGUAUUCAUUACUGGUGGAGUCUAAGCAAGCAUGUCACCCCCCUCUGACUCAUCAGGAAAGAAUGUAUGGCAGGCAACUGAAAAUCCUCCCAGUCACCUUCGAUCCAGGGGAAGUUUUCACAAUGAGUCCCACCUCGGCUGUGAGUUUGGCAUGCAUAGUCUUUCUUAGAUUGAGAUGCACUCCUUCUGGACCUAAUUGAUUGCAAGUGGUCUUAUUUGGGGAUGCUGUGCAAAAUCGGGGAGGUAAAGGCCUAGCUGGAGGAGGCAGGUCACCCGAGGGAGAUCCUUGGGGACACAGGACCAUUGUCACUUCUGCCCUCAUCCUGUUCUCUGCCACACUGUAAUAUGAACAGCUGUCUCUGCCAUCAGCUCCCACCACUAUGGCGUUCUCCAGCUCCUAGUGCCAAGCAACUAUGGACUGAGACUUAUGGAACCAUGAACCAGAAUGAACAUUUGCUUCCUUUUCCUGUCAGGCAUUUCUGUGAGAGCGAGGCAAAUGGAACUAAUACAUGUGACAUGUGUCACACUUCAUACUGUAAGUGUGAUGCAUUACAGUUGAACUGUCUUUGUAUCGAAGGGACAUUGUCUUAGUGAAUGAUCUUUUUAAUAGUUUGCCAAAUUUGGUUUGCUAAUAUUUUGUUGAAGACUCCUAUAUGUAUAGUAGUCAGGAAUAUUGGCCUAUACUUUUCAUUUCUUCCAGCAUCCAUAUCUGUCUUUAGGGUCAAUAUAAUGCUGAAAUCACAAAAUGAAUUCAGAAGAAUUUUCUCAACCUCGGGUUUUUUUUUUUUUUUCAUCUGUUUGUUUGUUUUUGUUUUAAAGACAAGUCUCUCAUUAAACCUGGAAAUCACUGCAGCCACUAGUGAGCAAUCCCCAAGGAAUUCUCCUGCUUCUGGCCACCCAGUACUGGAGUUACAGGUGUGUUCUGUCAUGCCAGCUUUUUAUACAGUAUAUUGGGUUUUUAUUGCUGUGAAGAGACACCAUGACCACAGCAACAUUUAUAAAGAAAAUUUUUAAUUGGAGUGGCUCACUUACAGUUUCAGAGGCUCAGUCCACUAUCAUAAGGAUGGGAGCAUGGCAGGACACAGGCAGAUGUGGUGCUGGAGCUGAGAGCCCUACAUCUUGCAGGCAACAGGAAGUUGACUGUCACACUGAGGGAAGUUUGGGCAAAAGAGACCUCAAAGCCCGCCCCCACAGUGACACACUUCCUCCAACAAGGCCACACCUCCCACUAGUGCCACUCCUUUGGGGGCCAUUUUCUUUCAGACCACUACAUACGGGUACUAAAGACCGAAACCAGAUCCCCACCUCUGCAUGGCAAGGGCUUCACCAACGGAGCCACCUCCCCACCCCCACUUCUGAUUUUCUCUCUCUUCUUAGCCAAUAAUGCUGACAUUUUGUGAGCUGGUUAGUUUUCUCAACUUGAUCCAAACAUGGACAUGACCGGGAAGAAGAAGAGUCAACCGAAGAAUCACCUCCAUCAAACCAGCCUGUGGGUGUGCGGAUUCGUAUGCUGGUGGGGUUUUCUUGGUUGCUGAUUGAUGUGAAAAGACCCAGCCACUAAAGGACGUCCCAUCCCUGAGUGCCUGGGCCUGGGUGGUGUAGGAAGAGCAGAUGAGCAAGCCAGAAGAAGCAAGCCAGUGAUCAGUGUUCCUCCAUGACCUGCUUCAGUUCCUGCCUCCAGAUUCCUUUCUUGAGUUUCUUCUCUGGCUUCCCUCAGUGAUGGACUAUAAACCUAUAAGCUAAAACUAACACCUUCCUCCUGAGUGGAUUUUGAUCAGUGUUUUAGCACAGCAAUAGAAAUCAAACAAGAACAGUUUGCCAAUCUUGUCUCUUUAAGGAAAAUCAAGUUUAGUCUUUUGAUGUUUUUCUCCAUUUUUUCAAUGCUCGAUUAUUUCUGUUCUAUCUUUGCUAUUUUUUUCUGCUCACUCUUUUGGGUUUUGUUUUCUUUUUUCUACUUUCUUGAGCAAUAAGGCUACUUAAGUUGUUCUUUUUAAUAAGCAUUUACUGUUAUUAACUUCUCUCAUGAAUGUGGCAUGCUGUGUUUCCAUUUCUGUUUGUCUCAGGACAUUUUCUGAUUUCCCUCUGAAGAUCUUCUUUGACUCAUGUUCACAAAGCAUAUUGCUUAAUCUUCAUGUAUUAUGAAUUUUCUGACAUCCUUCCUAUUGCUUCCCAGCUUAAUACCAUUGUGACAGGGAAUGACACUUGACAUGAGUCAGCUCUCUUAAAUGUCUCAGUCCAUCCCAAAGAAUGUACUGUACUUGAAAAGAAUGUGUAUUUUGCUUCUAUUUUAUGGGAUGUUUUCUGUGUCUCACAGUUCUAUUCACUCUAAAGCCUGAUUCUUACCCAAUGUUUCUUUGCUAUCUACUGAAUUGAACCAUAUACCCAUUGUUGACAGUGGGACACUGAGGUCCCCAAACUCUGUUGUAUCACAACCUACAUCUCCAGAUCAUGUAAUUUUUUAUGUCUAGCUGUGUCUAUGUUGGGUAUAGGUAUAAUUUUAAUAGCUUCUUGAUAAUUUAAUUCUUUAUUAUUGUAUAAUUGUUGUGGAACAUUAGUUGAAGAGGUGUUACAUUCGUUUAUGCUGUGGAGCAUUUGUUUAAGGAUGCAAAGAUGUGCUGCGCUCUUUCAUGUUGCAUUUGUUUAACUCUAUGAAGUUGUGUUACGUUGCCUAGCUAAAACACCUGAUUGGUCUAAUAAAGAGCUGAAUGGCCAAUAGCUAGGCAGGAGAAGGAUAGGCAGGGCUGCCAGGCAGAGAGAAUAAAUAGGAGAAGAAGCAGAAGACAGAGCGAAAAAAGGAGAGGGGAUGCCCGCCAGGGGCCAGCCACCCAGCAACACAGCCAGACAUUGAAUAAGAAGGAAAGAAAAUAUAUACAGAAAUAGAGAAAGGUAAAAAUCUCAGAGGCAAAUGGUAGACAGGACAAUUGAAGAAAAGCUGGCUAGAAAUAAGCCAAGUUAAGGCUGGGCAUUCAAGAAAGUCUCCAUGUGAUUAUUUGGGAGCUGGGUGUUGGGUUCCCAAAGAAUAAAGAGGAAAAAAAGCCUGUACAUAAUGACCUUCUUUAUUUAUCUUUUGCAGUUUUUUUUUAAUGUAUGUUCCAUUUUUUAAGUGUAUGCCGUGCAUGUGGCAUCCUGAAAGACCAGAUAGUAUCAUCAAAUGAGAGUUACAGAUGGUUGUGGGUCAUCCUGUGUAGGUUACUUGGCUUUAUUUCCUUUCUCAGGUGUUUCAGUUCCAGGAUUCUGCAAUCUUCUAUCUUUCGUCGGUGCCAGGGCAUUUCAGGAGGGAGGACUGCUUGUAGCCUUUAUUGGUAUUUUUGCUGUUUAGCUUGAGUUUCCAGAUGGCCAGCUGGUUGUAACAGGGAAUACUUAUUACCAGGUUCUCUAAUUGGGCCUGACCUUUGCUCCAGAAUCAAAUGGAGCCCAUGGCUAGGGUUAUGCUCUCUAGUGAGAUCAUGGCUGGACUCUGAAGUCAGACAGAAUUCUUAGCUGGCCACUGCAAUUCCUCAGAAUCACAGACUGGAUUCUCUACCAGGCAGUACAAUUAGCAUUCUGUAGUUGGGUAAGGCUGCCAACUAAGGUCUGAGCUUAGAACCAUGGCUUGGAAUGGGUGAAUCCAGAGGCUACACUGCAUAAAAAUGCAUGGUUGAGGCUUGUUUCCUGACCUGGGUGGACUCCACACUGUUCAUCUGGGUUUCUACAAGUGACAAGCAUGGUUUUGUGGGUGGGUUAUGCUGUUAGCUGGUUUCCUUGACCCAGCACCAGUGUAAGCAAGAGCACAGAGCUGCCUCUGUGUCCUUCAGGUUUUCCCUUUCCUUAUGCCUGACCUUGGAGGCCUCACCCUGCAAUUACCCAGUGUUUCCCUUGAGGAGAGACAGGAACGCACUUCCUGGUAGCAUCUUGAAAUGCUAAGGAAACCAGUGACUGUCUACUGAGCUCUUUUCUCAGUGUGGAAACUGUAGGUUCCCAUAUCUCUGUGCAAGAGAAGGGGGAGGUCAGAGGUCAGAGAUCAGAGAUGGGGACCAUUGUGAUCUGAGACAUUCUUCUUACCCUUCUAUGUGAGUCUUUUGUUUUAGAUGAUUUUAGGUUGUCUGGGCCAUGCCAGUUUCUCAGAUUUGUUUUCAAGAUCAGGCUUUUCACAAAGUGUUCUUGUCUGCAAAAAUUUGAUGGAAUUCACACUUUGCUUAGUGGGAAAGGUGGAGGCAUGGAGCCCCUAUUCUGUCAUCUUGCUGAUUCUACUCCCCUCAAGUAUCUCUGUAUAAACUUAUAAUCCUUCCUCCCACAGCCUGCUAACAUCACAUUAAGCUGCACAUAACACAAUUCCACAUACCCUAAGCUUAGAACUACUUCCAGAGGAUCUGGAAAGUCUAAUAAAUGAAGUAAAAUGAUGCAUAAAAAUCAGGGCUAGGAUGCUGGUUUGAACAGGGGUACCAAACACGCUAACCACUAAACUGGAGCCUGGAGCUUCUGAAUCACAGGACAAUCUACAAGCUAAAUAUAGUUUCUCUCUUCACUGACCACUGGAAAGAUGACUAGCCAAUAGUGGCUACUUUGUGCCUACUAUGUGUCACAAACUAUGCUAGAGGUUAAGCUAAGACAAUGUCUACUUCUAAAGAGUCCAGCUUAAAAGGUGAACAAUCACACAAAUGCUACAGUGGAGUUCCAGAAGUGGUGUGAGGCAGAGGAAUGAACUGGCUGUUACCGAUACCGAGAAAGCUUCCUGAGGCUUGAACUCAGACCUUCACAUACAUGAGGCAUGUGCUCCACAACCCCAGAAAGAUGCUGGCCCAUCAGAAUGAGUAGAAAUGACUGCACAGCCCUCUAGGUGGGUUUUUUGUUUGUUUUGAGGUGGUUUUUCCCCCUACUCAUGUAAAAUUCUUGUUAUACUAUUAUGGUGAUAGAUAGAUAGAUAGAUAGAUAGAUAGAUAGAUAGAUAGAUAGAUAUAGAUAUCCUUAUCUAAAAACAACAAAAAAUCAAAUCAAUGCCCCAAAAGGCACUAAAUAUUCUGAGAGAAUAGCAGGCAUAAGUGUGUAGUUAGAGGUAUUUGUGGACAUUCUUUACCCUGUACUUCAGAUAAGAACAUAAUAUCUAUUGUUGUCCCUGAUUUAUUUGGUAAUAGCUGGGAUUUUUCUGUUUUUUUUUUUAUCAAACAGGAGAAUAAAACUGAACAAAAGAUUAGACUGAUGCACAAAAGUGUCUGACUGGAGAGACAGAAAUGAUCAGCAAGCAGUCUAGGCAUCUUGACUUUUGGUGAGGAUGUUUUACCACUGUUUAAAACUUCUUUUCCUAACAGAGUUCAGGAAGAUUUCUAUAACUUUCCUGGUAAUGGGUCUUAGAUCUCAUCUAUUACAUAAAACACAGUGUGUCAAUUCGUAAUUACAAGUUAAAACAAUCUGGAACCCCUUAACCCCUAAAGAUGGGAUUUCUCAAAAGCUUGACUUGUUCUGAAGAAGUAGUUUGUUACCACAAAGUCUGUGAGCUGACUUCACCCCCCUUCCCCAAAUAUGUGACUCAAUCUCUGAAUGAUUUGUUGUCAAGUGAUUACAAAGACAUCCUGACAUUUGAUUUCCAGGCUGACCAGCUACUGCUGGAAUGAAUUAAUUUUUUCUGCCAUUUUAGUGGGUAAAGAGCACAAUCAUGAGUCAAAAAGAGCUGUGCAUGGUGGUGCAUGCCUUAAAUCCCAGCUCUUGGGAGUUCAAGGCCAGCCUGGUUACAAAGUGAGUUUCAGGACAGCCAGAGUUGUUACAUAGAGAAAUCCUGAAGGAGGAGGGGGUGGAGAAGGAGGAGGAGGAGGAGGAGAUGCAGAUUCUGGAAAGCCAGGCAGUGGUAGCACACACCUUUGAUACUAGAACCUGGGAGGCAGAAGCAGGCAGACCUCUGAGUUUGAGGCCAGCCUGGUCUACUGAGCAAGUUCCAGGACAGCUAGCCAGUACUACACAAGAGAAAUUCUGUCUCAAAAGAGAAAAAAAAAGAAAGAAAGGAAAAGAAAAAGAAAAAAAAUUCCUGGAAGAGUUGGUUUCCUUGCUAAGGUCUUAGGAACAAACACCCCUGUCCACUUUCUAUGCUUCCUCACACUCCAAAUUAGUCAAGCAAGCUCACUGCUUGUAUAUUUGUGUAACAAGCAAUGCUAAGCAGUUUUGUUAAAAACCGUGUGUGGUGUUCAAUAAAUAUGGCUUUCAUUUCAAUUCCACUCUAAUGGCUUUCUUAUGACUUAGCUCUUCCACUAAUUCCUUUAAACAUUCCAGUCCCCUCCCACCACCCUCCAAGAGGAUGGGCCUUGGUAUGUUAGUGUCCUGUUGCUGAGUUGUAGGUCCUUGGAAGUGUUUUCACAAUGUCAUUUGGCCACAAAAGGAGAACAGAACAAUCUUGAACUUGUGUUAAUCCUGAAACUUUCCAGAACUCCUAGCUUUCUAGGUUAGAACCAAACAGUUCACCAAACUCUCAGGACAGCAUAUGUACGAUGAGUGUUUGACUGGAGCCAACUAAGUCAUGUGACCUGUGGGACACAAAGAGAGGAUUUUAAUUUGUCUAAAUAAAAGGUUAAUUGCAUAUUAUUGCCUAAGAACUGAAUAAACAAUUGAGCCAACAUAACUGUAUUGGAGACCAUCAGACCCCACCACUAACACAUCUGUCUCUAGAAGUGAAGCCAUCUCUAACCUAAUCAUCUACUUGGAGCCCCGAAGCCAGAGCAUCUCCUCACACCAUAACAAACCCAUUCUGACCAAGACCUUGGAAAGCAACACAAAGAUUGCUACAUUAAAUGGCAUUUCAGUACGGUGUUCCUAAUUCCUAACUGCCAUGAAAUAAAAAAUAUCUCACUGAAGAAAUCAUUUGCAAGCGUAAAAACCUUUAUUAGGUUUGCCCUUGUUGUUUAGGGAUACUUCUGACAGACAGAAAAGGAAAUAAGGAAGCAAGCAAGGAGAGGAACCUAGACCAGAUAAUGGCAAGCUAAUUUGCUUGACGGUGGUAAUCAUAUCAUUGUGCACGUGUAUGUAAAAAUGUCACUUUGCAAACCUUUAAUAUAUACAAUAAAAAGCCCCCGCCACACUAUUUACAUGUUUGUCAUCUCACCUGGAAUCAGAAAGUGAUCUCUCGCUGUUAUUUAGGAUCACUAAUGUAUACAGGAGCACACGGAGCCUGUCAAAUUAAUCUGAAGAAUUUCUGCCUUGCUGUAUUUUAAGAAGGCUGUAUCUUCCUGCCGAUAGUGUCAUUGUGGUUCCGAAGUCCUGCAUGUCUGAGUCUGCUACUUUGGUUCCAGGGGCACUGGCUCCACCCAGAAGGCCGGAGACAGGCAGCACAUCUGUCUGCCUGUCUGCACAGGUGUCUGAACUGCACACCAGGUCAAAGUUGGACACAUAGGAAUGAAGUUCAGUUGCUGGCUUCUGAUCAGCCUAUUGGCUGGACUUGGUGUUGGAAUAACAUAAGGUGGGAUGAUUAAAGGGAAACCCGAGUGAAGCUAUCACUCAAGGGCUGUAAAAGUGCUGAUAACGUGAUUUGAACUGUGACUACAAUGGUACCCAACACCAUGCCAUCCCUAGCUUUUUAGUUCUAC
ensembl:lncRNA